rnacentral:rRNA from 1 species
GUACACUCCUGCGGGAGGCAGCAGUGGGGAAUUUUGGACAAUGGGCGAAAGCCUGAUCCAGCAAUGCCGCGUGUGUGAAGAAGGCCUUCGGGUUGUAAAGCACUUUUGUCCGGAAAGAAAUCCUUGGCUCUAAUACAGUCGGGGGAUGACGGUACCGGAAGAAUAAGCACCGGCUAACUACGUGCCAGCAGCCGCGGUAAUACGUAGGGUGCGAGCGUUAAUCGGAAUUACUGGGCGUAAAGCGUGCGCAGGCGGUUUGCUAAGACCGAUGUGAAAUCCCCGGGCUCAACCUGGGAACUGCAUUGGUGACUGGCAGGCUAGAGUAUGGCAGAGGGGGGUAGAAUUCCACGUGUAGCAGUGAAAUGCGUAGAGAUGUGGAGGAAUACCGAUGGCGAAGGCAGCCCCCUGGGCCAAUACUGACGCUCAUGCACGAAAGCGUGGGGAGCAAACAGGAUUAGAAACCCCAGUAGUCCCAUGAU